CGCCGGCACCGCCCUCAGCCCAAUCCCCUCCCUGCGCCAUCAUUAGGUCCCGCCUCCCUGAACUCUAUCCAGUCUCUGUCCCGAGUUCGCCCUCAAACUCCGCCCCUGAACUCUCAGUUCAAUCGUCAUUCAGUCCUGUCCUCAGGCUCCACCAAGCUUGACUCUUUGUCACUGUCCGCAAACGUCGGGUACGGUGGCCUCUAUGGACGAUGAUCAGCCGACAAGCUGGACUGCGGAGAGCUGGGAGCAGAGGGGAGGAGGAGAGAUAGCUCGAACGUCAGGAUCCCAGAGCGCAGGCUCAGAACAACGCCAGGUGGAGGUGGUCUGGAGAAAUCCGGAGACCGCCUGGAUUGAGUUCUACUGCGAUUGGAAGGGAGAUUCCACAGCCCACAUACUUUGGACUUUAAUUAAGCUCUGCUGCAGCCAGCUCCGCCACCAUCCCACGUCCUCCCUGUGGAAGACGGACACAUCUAUUUUAUUUAUUUAUUUAUUUUUGGUCCUCCCUGUGGAAGACGGAAACAUCUAUUUUAUUUAUUUAUUUAUUUUGAGUCAGAGUCUUGCUCUGUUGCCCGGGCUGGAG
rnacentral:lncRNA from 1 species